rnacentral:tRNA from 1 species
GGGCUCAUAGUAAAGUGGUAUUACGCGUCCGUGGCAUGGAUGAGGCGGGGGUUCAAUUCCCCCUGGGUCCA